UACAGGAGGUCCCGAGCGUUGUUCGGAUUCAUUGGGCGUAAAGGGUGCGUAGGCGGUCUGCUAAGUUUGAUGUGAAAUCCCGGGGCUCAACCCUGGAAUGGCAUUGAAUACUGGCGGACUAGAGUACCGGAGAGGAAACUGGAAUUUACGGUGUAGCAGUGAAAUGCGUAGAGAUCGUAAGGAAGACCAGUGGCGAAGGCGAGUUUCUGGACGGUAACUGACGCUGAGGCACGAAGGCCAGGGGAGGCAAACGGG
rnacentral:rRNA from 1 species